ensembl:processed_transcript
CUUACACCCACAACAACCCGGAAGUCUCGUGUCCUUUGAGAGAACACGAUUAUGUGUUUACCGGGACACUAUUUUGAAUUCUGAUCGAGUAUGUCAUUAAUUUUAUGAUGCCUUUCUGAACCGAUAACAAAAAUAAAAUCCACACGUUUCCAUGGUAACGGACGUGGCGUUCUCCAUCGGACAAUCAUGGCGGAUGAUUUGGACGAUUUACUUGAUGAAGUCGAAUCAAAGUUUUGUUGCAACACUUCGGAGUCUAAACAGACAAGCCGUGUUAUGAAACAUACGGAUCAAAAGUGUGACAAUCUCGAAGAAAGGAAACUGCCAAGAAAACAAGGACGUAAAAGAGUUGAAAAUGAGAUAGAUAUUGACGCUAUGCUGCAUGAAAUACUGGAUGAUGAUGUUGAUACACCAACCAGCACACAUGAACCCAGUCCAGCAAAGGCAUCCUCAAGUGCUCAGACAAUCUCCAAGAAAUGUUGCCCUGUGUUUCUUGGUGGAAGCUCUGUUGCACACGGCAUUGGAACCAGCGUUUCCGAAAGGGCCUGCAAUCGAUUAAGAUGUACAUAUUGCGACUUCAGCGUAAUCACCUUUGAUGAUCAUGAAUGGGACUCGUCCUGUGACUAUUUAUUUUUCAGGAACAACAUGCCGGAUUACCACAAGCUGAAGGUGCAUCUGAGGAGGAGAGCGGGUGUUCGUGCGUACGCCUGUCAGUGUAGCUGGAUCUCAAUUCUGACACUCUCACACCUCAGAGAACAACCACAGCUCAAGUGGGUUUGUGGGAAACACAGAGCAUAA